rnacentral:rRNA from 1 species
AUGGGAGGUCACUUCCCUGUAGCGACGAAUGAGGACAACGACGAAACAUCAGCUGUCUUAUCUCCAGGCAGAGCUUACUUGUUCACCGUGCAUUGCAUGAGGUGGUUACAUCAGGCUGCCCCCCGCAAACUCUCCGUCUCAUCCAGUAGGAUGUGGUUCAGGAUUUUCCUUGGCAUCCCUGACAAAUGGACGAAAAAAAGGAAUCAGGAUAUUUUACAAGGCCUGAACAUUUUGCCUUGCUAUGUAAGGAAGACUAGCAGACCACUUGGUGUGUUUAAAACAAACGUGGGCCUUGGGGAUUGCGACAUAGAAUGGGGUGCAAGAACAUUGCAUCGAAUAGCUCAGUGCAGGACAUGGAAAGCCUGA